rnacentral:rRNA from 1 species
UAGGCGACCGGGUGAGUAACACGUGACUAACCUACCCUAAAGUGGGGAAUAACCUCGGGAAACCGGGGCUAAUACCGCAUAACAUUGCGCGGCUGAAAGGCCAUGCAUUCAAAGGAGCAAUUCGCUUUAGGAGGGGGUCGCGGUUGAUUAGCUAGUUGGUGGGGUAAUGGCCCACCAAGGCGAUGAUCAAUAGCCGGCCUGAGAGGGCGCACGGCCACACUGGAACUGAAACACGGUCCAG